GGCAUUUGGGUGUAUCCAUGCUGAGAUUUCGUCACACACCGGACCACAAGGGCUGAUGAGACUCCCAAGAUAAGUGAAGCG
rfam:Schistosoma mansoni strain Puerto Rico chromosome W, complete genome